GCCGACCCCCGCCGCCAUUACAUGACUGCAGGCCCCAAGUUGGUCGUCAACAGCCCGGGCCCGCGGUACAAGAAGCAUUGGAAGCACUUUAGACCUGCGUUUCCCAGCGUAAGGCCGACAUUCCGGCCAGCUAACGUGGCUAGCUGGCCGGGCCCCGACAUUUAAGUCUCCCGGGAUCAACAACAACACCUUUGGCUCAACUCGGCUCUCCUAUUUGUGUAAUUAUUGUUGCAUCCAGAGCGGAGAUGCUGCUAGAAAACACGGGCCUGCCUAGUGACGCCAACACUGUUAGGCAGCGAGUACGCGGGUCAACAUGCCGACGCCGCGGUCGUUGAGGAUGGUGAGUUUCUCCGCCAGCUUCUGCUGACUGGGCUGCAUCACACCUCGAGACAUCUUGCAGCUCCCACCAGAUCCCUCAAUUCAGGCAAGAUCGGCGGCAGAAAACCACAAGAAGUCCACAGCCUCGUCUCGGUUGUUGUGUUCUUUGUAAGAAUUAGAUGUGCUGCAUGAUCAUCUUCCUGCACGGCACACGCCUUCUUUCUCCCCUUUUUUUCCUGCCGGGAUGAGGGAGUCCUCGUUUUUAGUGACGGUGCGUUCAAUGCACCUCGUACAACUGCCUUCUCAGUAAGUGCAUUAGCGCUUUAAACAUGAUCGAUUGAUUGCAGCUUUUAUUAGUAGAUUGCACAGUACAGUACAUAUUCCCUACAAUUGACCACUAAAUGGUAACACCCCAAUAAGUUUUUCAACUUGUUUAAGUCGGGGUCCACGUUAAUCAAUUCAUUGUGUGGCUAGAAUUUCAUUUGGUCUCUUUUAGACGAAUAUAAACCUCUGUUGAGUAUAGGCACAUGGCCGCCUGUAGUGACAUUAGUGCUAUUCCUAUUGUUGGUAAUAGUAUUAUUAUUAAAUGCUGUGGUUAGAACUUCAUUUUGUCUCUUUUAGACCAAUAAACCUCUGUUGAGUUGAGGCACAUGGUGACAUCCAUCCAUCCAUCUUCUUCCGCUUAUUUGAAGUCGGGUCGCGGGGGCAGCAGCCUAAGCAGGGAAGCCCAGACUUUCCUCUCCCCAGCCACUUGGUCCAUCUCUUCCCAGGGGAUCCCGAGGCGUUCCCAGGCCAGCCGGGAGACAUAGUCUUCCCAACGUGUCCUGGGUCUUCCCCGUGGCCUCCUACUGGUCGUAUGUGCCCUCCCUAGGGAGGUGUUUGGAUGGCAUCCUGACCGGAUGCCCGGACUACCUGGAGGAGCAGCGGUUUUAUUAUUCAAUUAUGUGGCUGGAACUUCAUUUUGUCUGUUUUCGACAAAUAUAAACCUCUGUUGAGUUGA